rnacentral:rRNA from 1 species
AGAGUUUGAUCCUGGCUCAGAUUGAACGCUGGCGGCAUGCCUUACACAUGCAAGUCGAACGGCAGCACGGGAGCAAUCCUGGUGGCGAGUGGCGAACGGGUGAGUAAUAUAUCGGAACGUGCCCAGUCGUGGGGGAUAACUAUCCGAAAGGAUAGCUAAUACCGCAUACGUCCUGAGGGAGAAAGCGGGGGAUCGCAAGACCUCGCGCGAUUGGAGCGGCCGAUAUCGGAUUGGCUAGUUGGUGGGGUAAAGGCUCACCAAGGCGACGAUCCGUAGCGGGUCUGAGAGGACGACCCGCCACACUGGAACUGAGACACGGUCCAGACUCCUACGGGAGGCAGCAGUGGGGAAUUUUGGACAAUGGGGGCAACCCUGAUCCAGCCAUUCCGCGUGAGUGAAGAAGGCCUUCGGGUUGUAAAGCUCUUUCAGCAGGAACGAAACGGUCGGCUUUAAUAAAGUCGGCUAAUGACGGUACCUGCAGAAGAAGCACCGGCUAACUACGUGCCAGCAGCCGCGGUAAUACGUAGGGUGCGAGCGUUAAUCGGAAUUACUGGGCGUAAAGCGUGCGCAGGCGGCGACAUAAGACAGAUGUGAAAUCCCCGGGCUCAACCUGGGAACUGCGUUUGUGACUGUGUUGCUAGAGUGUAGCAGAGGGGGGUGGAAUUCCACGUGUAGCAGUGAAAUGCGUAGAGAUGUGGAGGAACACCGAUGGCGAAGGCAGCCCCCUGGGUUAACACUGACGCUCAUGCACGAAAGCGUGGGGAGCAAACAGGAUUAGAUACCCUGGUAGUCCACGCCCUAAACGAUGCCAACUAGGUGUUGGGGGAGGAGACUUCCUUAGUACCGUAGCUAACGCGUGAAGUUGGCCGCCUGGGGAGUACGGUCGCAAGAUUAAAACUCAAAGGAAUUGACGG